rnacentral:tRNA from 1 species
AAGAAAUUAGCUCAAUUGGUAGAGCAUCCGUUUUACACGCGGCAGGUUAAGUGUUCGAAUCACUUCACUUAUUUCUUA